rnacentral:misc_RNA from 1 species
CAAACCCUCAAGCUGAGCUUGGUGUUGGGUGUCACCAGGUAAUGGUGCACCUCAAAAUUAGUGGCGGUGCCAUCUGGCUUCAAGCGUAGUAAUUCUUUCGCUUUGGAGGUUUGGAUGUGUGCUUGCCAUAAACCUGUAAUUUAUCAAA